CCCAGACUCCUACGGGAGGCAGCAGUGGGGAAUAUUGCACAAUGGGGGAAACCCUGAUGCAGCGACGCCGCGUGAGUGAAGAGGUAUUUCGGUAUGUAAAGCUCUCUCAGCAGGGAAGAAGAAGGACGGUACCUGAGUAAGAAGCCCCGGCUAACUACGUGCCAGCAGCCGCGGUAAUACGUAGGGGGCAAGCGUUAUCCGGAUUUACUGGGUGUAAAGGGGGCGCAGACGGCGAUGCAAGCCAGGAGUGAAAGCCCGGGGCCCAACCCCGGGACUGCUCUUGGAACUGCGUGGCUGGAGUGCAGGAGGGGCAGGCGGAAUUCCUGGUGUAGCGGUGAAAUGCGUAGAUAUCAGGAGGAACACCGGUGGCGAAGGCGGCCUGCUGGACUGCAACUGACGUUGAGGCCCGAAAGCGUGGGGAGCAAACAGGAUUAGAUACCCGUGUA
rnacentral:rRNA from 1 species